rnacentral:lncRNA from 1 species
AUGAUGAUGAUGAUGAUGAUGAUGAUGAUGAUAAAUUUUGAUUUAAAUAUGUAUUUGAUCUUGCAAAUAUAUCACUUUUUAAUUUUAGUCUUUGUACAUUUUUUUUGCUUGGAUUUAGUCACUAUAAAAUUAGAAACAAUCGAUUUUGAUCCCUAUCAUCAAAUCAAGAAAGAAGAGUUUUACAAAAUUCCUAAAACUCUCUUUUAAUUUCUAUUUAUAUUUUCUUUAUAAAAUAAUAUUAAUUAUUAAAUAAUAAAUAAAUAAAUUUAUAAAUUGAUAAUAUAAAAUAUUUUAUUUUUUA